rnacentral:rRNA from 1 species
GGCGGCAGGCUAACAGCAUCCAAGUCGUAUAACGGUAGAGAGAAGCUUGCUUCUCUUGACAGCGGAGGACGGGUGAGUAAUGCCUAGAGAAUCUGCCUGGUAGUGGGGGAUAACGUUCGGAAACGAACGCUAAUACCUGCAUACAGUCCUACGGGAGAAAAGCAGGGUGACCUUCGGGCCUUGCGCUAUCAGAUUGAGCCUAGAGUCGGAUUAUGCUAGUGUGCGUGAAGUAAUUGGCUCACCAGGCGACGAUCCGUAACUAGGUCUGAGAGGAUGAUCAG